UGUAUGCCAGUAUCCUGGUGUGUGGUC
rnacentral:piRNA from 1 species